rnacentral:rRNA from 1 species
GUUUAUCAAAAACAUGUCUUUUUGAAUUUAAUUUAAAGUGUAACCUGCCCACUGAAUUUUUAAAUGGCCGCAGUAUUUUAACUGUGCAAAGGUAGCAUAAUCAUUAGUCUUUUAAUUGAAGGCUGGAAUGAAUGGUUGAAUGAAAUAUUAACUGUUUCAAAUAAAUUAAUAAUAGAAUUUUAUUUUUUAGUCAAAAAGCUAAAAUAAUAUUAAAAGACGAGAAGACCCUAUAAAUCUUUAUAUUUUAUAUUAUAAUUAUUAUAAAGAUAAUUAAAAUUUUUAUAUUAUAAAAUAUUUUAUUGGGGUGAUAUUAAAAUUUAAAAAACUUUUAAUUAAAUAUUAACAAAAAUUAUUGAAUUAUUGAUCCAUGUAUAAUGAUUAUAAAAUUAAGUUACUUUAGGGAUAACAGCGUAAUUUUUUUAGAGAGUUCAUAUUAAUAAAAAAGUUUGCGACCUCGAUGUUGGAUUAAGAUAAA